rnacentral:lncRNA from 1 species
UGUGGACUCUUUCAUUCUGUCCAAGGAGGGAUCAGGCCAGCCAUCCCUUCGACUAAAAUCAAAGGUCCAAGAUCAACAGUACCAGUCAGAAUUCUCCAUGAAUGCUGUGACCUCCACCCACUCAGGCACUUACAAAUGCUAUGGUUCUCGAGAUUCAUCUCUCUACCUGCUGUCAUUUGCCAGUGCCCCUGUGGAGCUCAGAGUCUCAGGUGAGGUUGUUCUGACAUCUCAUUGUGAUUUGCAUUACAAUACAUAGAUCUUUUGAUUUGAGUGGGACUAAGAGGACAAUAUGAAUGGUUAGUCAAAAGGCACAUUCCACAGCACAGAAUUUGAUGGC